rnacentral:tRNA from 1 species
UGCGGAAUUGUGUAAUGGUAGCACAGAUGACUCUGGAUCAUCUUGUCUGGGUUCAAAUCCUAGUUCCGCAGCCA